AUGGCUCAGAAUGAACGUUGGCGGCGUGGAUUAGGCAUGCAAGUCGCACGAGAACCCCGCAAGGGGGGACAGUGGCAAACGGCGUAGUAAGGCGUAGGUGACGUACCCCGAGACCGGGAUAGCCACGGGAAACUGUGGGCAAUACCGGAUAAUUCCCCUCUUCUUGGAAAAAGGAGGGGGCAAAGGUGAGAGUCCGUCUUGGGAGCGGCUUACGUAGUAUUAGCUAGUUGGUGAGGUGACGGCUCACCAAGGCGAUGAUGCUUAGGGGGUGUUAGCGCAUGACCCCCACGACUGGGACUGAGAUACUGCCCAGACACCUACGGGUGGCUGCAGUCGAGAAUCUUCGGCAAUGGGCGCAAGCCUGACCGAGCGACGCCGCGUGCGGGAUGAAGGCCCUUGGGUUGUAAACCGCUGUCAGAGGGGAUGAAAUGUAUGUGGGCACUCCCAUGUAUUUGACAUAGCCUCAGAGGAAGCACGGGCUAAGUUCGUG
rnacentral:rRNA from 1 species